rnacentral:rRNA from 1 species
CCUACGGGUGGCAGCAGUGAGGAAUAUUGGUCAAUGGGCGAGAGCCUGAACCAGCCAAGUCGCGUGAGGGAAGACGGUCCUAUGGAUUGUAAACCUCUUUUGCCGGGGAGCAAAAAGCGGUACGUGUACCGCAUCGAGAGUACCCGGAGAAAAAGCAUCGGCUAACUCCGUGCCAGCCGCCGCGGUAAUACGGAGGCGGCGACGGUUAUCCGGUUUUAUUGGGGUAAAGGGGUGCGCAGGCGGCGAGUUAAGUCAGCGGUAAAAUUUCGGGGCUCAACCCGGACAAGCAGUUGAAAUUGGCUUGCUAGAGUGGGCGAGAAGUAGGCGGAAUGCGUGGUGUAGCGGUGAAAUGCAUAGAGAUGACGCAGAACUCCGAUUGCGAAGGCAGCAUACCGGCGCCCAACUGACGCUCAGGCACGAAAGCGUGGGUAUCGAACAGGAUUAGAUACCCCUGUAGUC